CAGAACUUCUCGGACUCUGACUAACCUUCCUUCUCCCUGCUUCAUUCUUCCUUUCUGUCACACGCUGCUGUCUCCCUCAUGCAUUCCCUUUCUCGUUCUGCUUUUUAUUGUAUCAUUCUCUAUCUCUUUCUUAUCUGCGGAAUUUUUCCAAUCGUUUCGUUCUUGUUUUAACCUUCCAGCAUCCGCAGCAUUUCACUUUCGUACAGAUAGUUUUCCUCCCAACAGUAUUCCUUGUAUCAUUUGGUUAUUUUUUCCUCUUCACCCCCCAUGUUCUUUCCAAUUGCUCUUUUAGUCCGAAAUAAGAACCCUUCUAAGGGAGGGUCCCUCGACCCGAAACGUUAACUCUGAUUUCUUUGCACAGAUGCUGCCACACCUGAGUUUUUUCCAUCAAUUUCUGUUUUUAUUUCUGAUUUGCCACAUCCCGCGGUUCUUAUUCCGAUCCCUGUCACCUUCGGGUCUUGUGGGCAGGCAUCUUCGUUUCGCUGAUAUGGGUGUCCAGUUGGUUCGCGCGGAUAGUAAGGUCGCCAGAAGCUUGUCUCUGGAAAUGAAGUUCCAUUCGUUUGGCACCUAAGAGGGCCCACAUGCUGAGGAUGCUUGCAGCUUGGUGUUUUUUCUGCGUUUGGCAUUCUGUCUUGAGGUCCUGAUUUUUCACUUUUGAUGACAUCACAUGUAAGGUUUGAUGACUUCCUGGAGCUUUACUGCUGCUAAGAAUGGCCCUGUUGACCUCUUCAGUGAAACAGCAACAAAGACAACCAGAAGUUGGUGAAUUACUGUUACUGGCAGAAACAGCUGCGAAGACAGCUAGAGGUCCAGACCUCCCAACCAACCCUUAAUUUUCUCAUACUUUUUGGUGUUGGUGAUGAAAAUAGAAAUCAAAAAGGCUUUAGAAGGAAAAUAUAAUCUGUGGCGAGAUAGAAGAACAGGCCUAACAAGGUCAAUGAAAGAAACAACUUUGAAGGAAAUCAAUUUCUGCUGGAAACAUCCUUUACCUCUGUUCGUGAAAAUCUUUACAGAAAUCCAAACAAAUUUAGUAUCAAGAAUAUGAAAACUAUAAAAAACUCUUAUUGCAUAGAUAUU